rnacentral:misc_RNA from 1 species
UGUUGGCAUUAUCUUGCCAAAAUCAACUUUUGAAUUUACUGUUACAAUGCAAGCUCCAAAGGCAGGUACUGCUGAAAAGGUGUGCAAAGACAAGUUUUUAAUCCAAAGCACUGUUGUUCCUGCUGGAACAACUGAGAAGGACAUAACAACUGAUAUGUUUAACAAAGACGAUGGCAAGUACAUUGAAGAGAUCAAGCUGAAAGUGGUCCUUAUCAGCCCCCCUCAGUCUCCAGUACUGUCACCAAUAAAUGGGGUGCUUAAGCAGGAACCUCUUUUUGGAGCUUCUGUGCUGAGAGAUCCUAUAUUGAGUAAAGUUGAGAAUACCACUCCACCACACAUGGUUGCCAAGAAUAGAAUUCAAAAUGAUUUUUGAUCAGGAGUUCAAAAAAGAAAAGGAUGUGGAGUUGAAGCCAAAUAAGGAUAUUGAUGAUCAGGAGUUGAAGCCAGAAAAUGAUGCAGAAAUGAUGCCAAGUAAUGAUGUGGUUAAUGUUGAGGCAGUAAAUCUGGCGAAUGAUGAAGAGUUGAAGUCAGAAAAUAAUGCCGUCAAUGAUAAUCUGGCAAAGGAUGCACAUUUAUCUCCCCCAAAGAAUGCAGAAUUUGUAACAUUAAAGGCUGUGGAGGAGCUGAAGUUUGUCAAUGACAUUGAGGAGAUGAAAUCAAAACUGAAUGCACUUGAAUCAAAGCUAAAUGAGGCUGAAUCUACUAUUUCAAAAUUGUCAGAGGAGAGGAAAACAAGUGUCCAGGAGAGAAAAAUUUUGCAGCACGAGCUAGCCAUGUUGAGGAGCAGGACAAGCACAAGAAGAGUUCAAGUGGGAUUUCCUCUUCUUUUUGUUGUUAUGGUUGCUCUUGUCAGUGUUUUGCUUGGAUACCUUUCUCACCCAUGAGUACGAAGACAUUACAGAGUAUGUCAAAGUUUGUUAUAGUUAGAACUUUAAAGGUACUAAUUGAAUUCUCCAAGGAAUAGGAAGGGACUGUAAGUUCAUCCUUUUUGGGUUUAUUCAAUCUAGGUUAGUAUGUUGAGUGUGUAGAUGAUACUCUUAAUGAAAAUAUCGAAUGUAGAGUGCCUGAUUC